rnacentral:rRNA from 1 species
UACGUCGGGUGCAAGCGUUGUCCGGAAUUAUUGGGCGUAAAGAGCUCGUAGGCGGUCUGUCACGUCGGCUGUGAAAACCCGAGGCUCAACCUCGGGCCUGCAGUCGAUACGGGCAAACUAGAGUACUGCAGGGGAGAAUGGAAUUCCUGGUGUAGCGGUGAAAUGCGCAGAUAUCAGGAGGAGCACCGGUGGCGAAGGCGGGUCUCUGGGCAGUAACUGACGCUGAGGAGCGAAAGCGUGGGGAGCGAACAGG